UACGUAGGGCGCAAGCGUUGUCCGGAUUCACUGGGUGUAAAGGGUGCGUAGGCGGGAAGGCAAGUCAGAGGUGAAAUCUCACGGCUCAACCGUGAAACUGCCUUUGAUACUGCCGUGCUUGAGGACUGGAGAGGAGACUGGAAUUUACGGUGUAGCGGUGAAAUGCGUAGAUAUCGUAAGGAAGACCAGUGGCGAAGGCGGGUCUCUGGACAGUUCCUGACGCUGAGGCACGAAGGUCAGGGGAGCAAACGGG
rnacentral:rRNA from 1 species